AAUCGUGGAUCAGCAUGCCACGGUGAAUACGUUCCCGGGUCUUGUACACACCGCCCGUCACACCAUGGGAGUCGGUAACACCCGAAGUCAGUAGUCUAACCGCAAGGAGGACGCUGCCGAAGGUGGGAUUGACGACUGGGGUGAAGUCGUAACAAGGUACC
rnacentral:rRNA from 1 species